rnacentral:rRNA from 1 species
CCUACGGGAGGCAGCAGUGAGGAAUAUUGGUCAAUGGGCGAGAGCCUGAACCAGCCAAGUCGCGUGAGGGAGUACUGCCCUAUGGGUUGUAAACCUCUUUUGUCGGGGAGCAAAAGCCGGACGUGUCCGGCUGUGAGAGUACCCGAAGAAAAAGCAUCGGCUAACUCCGUGCCAGCAGCCGCGGUAAUACGGAGGAUGCGAGCGUUAUCCGGAUUUAUUGGGUUUAAAGGGUGCGCAGGUGGAUUUUUAAGUCAGCGGUCAAAUCGUGGGGCUCAACCCCAUCCAGCCGUUGAAACUGGGGAUCUAGAGUGUGCGAGAGGUAUGCGGAAUGCGUGGUGUAGCGGUGGAAUGCGUAGAUAUAUGGAAGAACACCAGUGGCGAAGGCGGCUGUCUGGUCUGCAACUGACGCUGAGGCUCGAAAGCAUGGGUAGCGAACAGGAUUAGAUACCCGAGUAGUC